rnacentral:rRNA from 1 species
CAGCCGUAAACUAGUGCUCGCUAGGUGUCAGGCAUGGCGCGACCGUGUCUGGUGCCGCAGGGAAGCCGUGAAGCGAGCCACCUGGGAAGUACGGCCGCAAGGCUGAACUUAAGGAUUGGCGGGGGAGCACAACAACGGGUGGAGCCUGCGGUUUAAUUGGACUCAACGCCGGACAACUCACCGGGGACGACAGCAAUAUGUAGGCCAGGCUGAAGACCUUGCCUGAAUCGCUGAGAGGAGGUGCAUGGCGUAGACGUCU